AGUGAUUUUAAGAUCAGGUCAUGAGAGUGACCAAGACAUUGAGUGGAGGAAUUCUCAAAUGGGUAAGAAGCCCAGCUCCCUGGUGUGGAGAUGGGCGUGGAAUGUGAGUGCCUAGUGGGCCACUUUUGGCAAGCAGAACUGGCGCUGCAGGAUGAACUGAAGGCUGAGUUAAGGCGCCCAAUGCCGACGCUCAUCAGACCCCAGAAAAGGUGUUGGUUGAUAUAGACAGCAGGACGGUGGCCAUGGAAGUUGGAAUCCGCUAACAAGUGUGUAACAGCUCACCUGCCAAAUCAACUAGUCCUCAAAAUGAAUGGCACUGGAGCGCCAGGCCCAUACCCAGCUGUCGCCAACAAUGAGUGCCAAGGGGGGCUAUGCCGUGAUGAGUA
rnacentral:ncRNA from 1 species